CAUAUUAUGUUGAAACACUAGUUUUUGUACAAUCACCGAAGUUAAGCAACAUCGAGCCUAGUCAGUACCUAGAUGGGUAACCACUUGGGAAUACCAGGUACUGUAAG
rnacentral:rRNA from 1 species